CUAUUCUGAUAUUUGGACCGAGUAGUGGGCUGCUGGAUAGUGAUCCUUUUAUCCAAGAUCUUCAGCUCAAGACCCCUGCACUCUAAGAUCCUGGAUUUAAUAGACCAGAUUUGCAUAUGUUCCUGAUUGAUGUCGACAUUUAGAGGGAUUGAUUCACGUCAUUGAAUCUCAUGGUCAUGCAGCAAGUACCACAUUAAUUCUGAGUUCUCUACACCAUUUGCCAGCCCUAAUCGCUACAGUGAACCUGUAUUGUUGAGGAGGGAGACAGACAAUAAAACUCUAAGGAAACUGAAGUUGAAAGCGUGAAGCUACUACAACCACACAGCCAGGCAAUGACACAGCCAGAACUGGACAGACUCUUCCAUUCCAGAGCAUGAGCUCUUUUCAUAACAGCCUGCUCUUCAGAGAAU